rnacentral:rRNA from 1 species
UUUUUAAGCAGCUGUAAAACCCCGAGCGCACCCGUCCCUGUAGCAAAAGGGUGGGAAGACUUAAAAAUAGAGGCAAAAAGCCAACCGAGCUUGGUGAUAGCUGGCUACUCAACUAAAGAAUUUAAGUUCUACUUUAGGCACUACUUGAGCCAACCAUCCAACAAAACUCACCCCUUCUACACCUAAAGAAAAUCAAUGGGGGUACAGCCCCAUUGAACCGGAAUACAGCCCGAACUGAGAGAAAUAUCAAGCCCUUCUCCCGUAGGCUUCAAAGCAGCCACCAGAUAAUCGCGUUAUAGCAUGUUCACUAAACAAUUCUAACAAUUUAAUCAACCUCCUAAUCUACAAUGAGUUACUCUAUACCAAUAUAGAAACACUAAUGCUAAAAUUAGUAAUAAGAAACACUUAUUUCUCUCUGCACCCCCUUAAAUCAGAAUAGAAAAACUACUGACAAUUAACAAACCAACAGACACCCACAACACACCUAGCCAAAAUGUCACUAAAAACUUGUUACCCCAACACAGGUGUGCAAAAAAGAAAGACAAAAGGCCGCAAAAGGAACUCGGCAAAAUUUAAUCCCAACUGUUUACCAAAAACAUAGCCUUUAGCCCCACAAGUAUUAAAGGUCCCGCCUGCCCAGUGACUCUUUAAACGGCCGCGGUAUCCUAACCGUGCAAAGGUAGCAUAAUCACUUGUCCCUUAAAUAGGGACUGGAAUGAACGGCUAAAUGAGGAUUAAACUGUCUCUUGCGAGCCGGUCAAUGAAUUUGAUUUUCCAGUUCAAAAGCUGGAAUAAACACAUAAGACGAGAAGACCCUGUGGAGCUUCAAAACCUAGUUCACCAAAUAAUGUUUCCUUCGGUUUUUAGUUGGGGCGACUUCGGAGCACAAAAAAACCUCCAAAACAUGUAAACCCAUUAUAUUAAGAUCAACAAACCACAAAACCACAAGAUCCAGCAACAACCCUUAAUGUUGUCUGACCAAUGAACCAAGUUACCCCAGGGAUAACAGCGCCAUCCCCUUCUAGAGUCCCUAUCGACAAGGGGGUUUACGACCUCGAUGUUGGAUCAGGACACCCCAAUGGUGCAGCCGCCACUAAAGGUUCGUUUGUUCAACGAUUAAAGUCCUA